UACGAAGGGGGCUAGCGUUGCUCGGAAUCACUGGGCGUAAAGCGCACGUAGGCGGGUCGUUAAGUCGGGGGUGAAAUCCUGGAGCUCAACUCCAGAACUGCCUUCGAUACUGGCGACCUUGAGUCCGGGAGAGGUGAGUGGAACUCCGAGUGUAGAGGUGAAAUUCGUAGAUAUUGGGAGGAACACCAGUGGCGAAGGCGGCUCACUGGACCGGAACUGACGCUGAGGUGCGAAAGCGUGGGGAGCAAACAGG
rnacentral:rRNA from 1 species